UUUUGGCAGUUUGUUUCGAUAUUCAACGAAAGCCAGUCCAUCAAGAGGGCGUUUUGUGUUGGUUGUCCACCACCAAGCUGCGGUAUGGUACAUUUCUACAUGUGUCUUGUUUAAACCUAGGUAAUAAACUGUUAACGGUCGUUUUGAAGCAAUGUAAUCCGUAGAAAUCCCGACAUUAGUGAGCUAAGUACUUAACCUACUAGCUAGCUAGCAAGCUAACAAACAUUAGCUUAGCUUAAAAGCAGUUUCUUCUGCGCGGAAAUGAUCGAUUUCUGUUCUGACCUGUUUGUUUUUAACGUCAGGAUCUGAAAUAUUAAGCAAACUUCCCAGUCUUAAGACUACUGUCACUUUGAUUAACUGAAAACAAGUCCAUAUAUGUAGUGUUGCAACACUGCCAGCGUCUGCAGUCUAUCAAAAUGAAAGAUUUGCAUUGAUUUCCUGCCAACUUUGAGGGCAAUGAUUUCAUGUCCUCUUUGUUAACUUCUUUUAAGAUAACUUGACAAUUGCAGAUUCACUUAUUUGUCUUAUUUGGUAAGGUUAUGCACUGUUUGGCCACUUAAUAAGGUAUACAUGUCGUUAACACAAAUAUCUAAUCAGCUAAUCACAUCGCAGCAACUCAAUGCAUUCAGGCUUAUAGAUAUGUUCAAGACGACCUGGUGAAGUUCAAACAGAACAUCAGAAUGGCGACAAAGGUGAUUUAAGUGACUUUGAACGUGGUAUGGUUGUUGGUGCCAGACGGGCUGGUCUGAGCAUUUCAGAAACUGCUGAUCUACUGGGUUUUUCAAGCACAACCAUCUCUAGGGUUUACAGAGGAGGAUCAGAAAAAGGGCUAAUACCUUGUUGAUGCAUAAGUCAGAGGAGAAUGGCUGGUUGAAGAUGAUAGAAAGGCAACAGUAGCUCAAAUAACCACUGGAUACAACAAAAGCAUGCAGAAGACCAUCUCUGAACACACAACACGUGUAACCUUGAAGCCGAUGGGCUACAGCAGCAGAAGACCACAGGGGUGUCAGCUUAGAACACCAUCAGACGUUUGCCGUAAACAACAUGAAAGCAUGGAUCCACCCUGCCUUGAAUCAACGGUUCAGGCUGGUGCUGGUGGUGUGACGGUGUGGGGGAUAUUUUCUUGGCAUACUUUAGGCCCCUUGGUACCAAUUGAGCAUCAUCUAAACGCCACAGACUACCUGAGUUUUGUUGCUGACCAUGUCCAUCGCUUUAAGACAGUGUACCCAUCUUCUGAUGGCUACUUCCAGCAGGAUAACGCGCCACAAAGCUCAAAUUGUGUCAAACUGCUUUCUUGAUCAUGACAAUGAGAUCACUGUACUCAAAUGAACUCCUAUAAAGCACCUUUGGGAUGUGGUGGAACGAGAGAUUGGCAGUAUGGAUGUGCAGCCACCAAAUCUAAUAUGGACCAAAAUCUCUGAGGAAUGUUUCCAGCAAUUUGUUGAGUCUAUCCCAUAAAGAAUUAAGGCAGUUCUGAUGGAAAACGGGGGCCCCACCCGGUUCUAGCAAGGUGUCCCUAAUAAUGUGGCCAGUGAGUGUAUACACUGUGGUGGAUAGUAAUGCAUAUUUACUCAGUUACUGUACAAUUUUGAGGGACUUGAACUUAACUUGAAUAUAUUUUACAUUAUGCUACUUGUACUUUUACUUUACUACAUUAUGGAGGACAUUUCUUACUUUUUACUUCACUAUAUUUAUUUUACAAAUGUAUAUAUAUAUCUUUUAUUUAACCAGAUAAGUCUCAUUGAGAUUAAAAUCUCUUUUCCAAGAGAGACCUGGCCAAGAAAAGCAGCGAGAACAGUGUUACAACAAACAAUACAGACAGACGAACAAAAAGAAAUGGUAAAAACCAGUGAGUAUGGAAAUAAAAGAUACUGUUAAAAGCAUAACAACUGGCACAAUUGUAAGACAACAAGGGUUAAAAGAGCCACCAAAACCACCAAGAGUUCGUUGUUCCUUUUCCUUUAAAAUGGACUUGCACUCCCCCAUAGUUAUAAAAUCUGACAAUUUCUGCUCCUUCUGUACAAUUUAGUUACCAGCUUAUUUGCAGGUAUGGAUUUAUAAUACAGAAUAUUAAUCACCAAGUGCAGCAAGGAUAUUCAUGCAUCAAUAAUAAAUCAGAUAUGGGCCAUAGUGGAAAAUUAGUACUUGAAGUAUAUUUUGAUGCUAAUACUUUUGUACUUUGACUCGAGUACAAUUUUGUAUGCCCGACUAUUACUUUACCAUGUAGUAUUGCCACUUUAACUUAUGCAAAAGUAAAGAUCUGAGUUCUUCUUGCACUUCUGUUUUUACAGUCACGUGGUGGAGUCCAACCCUUACUGUGUUUGCUAAAUGUUAUGACAAGUCUAAUAAUUUGAAGUGAAGUCAUUUGUUGGAAUUCAAGGGGGAUUGCCAGCAGUCUAAGUGUGUGUGUGUGUGUGUGUGUGUGUGUGUGUGUGUGUGUGUGUGUAGAUGCUAUUGACGGUAUUGACUGAGCAGUGACAGAUUGAAGGAGCUGGUAAGUUUGGUUUCACAAUGGCAGAUGGAGGCAGCGAUGAUGAAGUCAUUCACCUGGCGAGCUUCAACGUCCACCGCAGCCAAGGCUCCCGUUCCAGUAAGAGGGAGCUCAUCACUAUUUCCGAUGACUCCGACGAGGAGCCUUUGACUCUGGUGCCGAGCAGCCCUGUUUUAGUUCCGGAUGAUGACGACAUCAGCAUAUUAGAGCCGCUCAAGCCUGCACGCAAACACGUGAUUCGCCCAGCUGCCAAAUGGAGUGGGGCCCAGCACAUCCCGGUUCAAGUUGUCGACCACAGUAGCGCAACUCCCGGGGUACCCACAGGGGACCCUGGUUCCGCCCCCUCUACCUCCAGGGAUGCCACAGCCAACUCCUCCACAGCGAGGCCGGUCGAACGGACACACACAACGGUGCAGACGAGCACCAGUGGACACACACAGUCGCAACCCGGCUCCUCGUCACACACACACUCUCGGCCAAAACUCAACACGAACUCGCAGCAACAGGACGGGACGUCAGCACACGUUAAAGUGGAACUCCACACAGUUCCCGUCCAAACCCCAUCUACCUCUACCAACACAUCCACUACACCAGGACUACAUCAGCCUCAGCCCAGCACAUCUGGACUCACACACUCUUCAGUCAAAGUGGAGCCCGGGGCGAGCUCCUCCAGUGCCACACACUAUCCCGCUGCAUCGAGUUCUUCUACUAAAGAGAAGGCUCCGUCACAAGACAAUCCUCAGUUUAGCACUUCCUCUGCUCACAGACGGACACCAUCUCAGCCCGGUACAUCUUCACAGACCCCCCCUACCACCACCACCUCAACCAACACCCCAAUGCAGCAGCGCCUCAUCAUGGCGGGGGUGAAUGUAGUCAUUCUACCGCAGCAUCCGAACGUCCAGGCCUCCGCUCUCGUGGCGUGCCCCCUGCUGCAGCUGAGUGAGAUGCAGGCGCUCGCGCACCAUCGCAUGCAGGGGAACCUCAUUCAGAUCGAGCCGCAGCCUCUGGCACAGGCCCCCGCCCAGCCUGAAGCCCAGGCCCCUCAACCCCCUCAGGUGAUGACGGUGGCCCCCCCUGCAGUGCUAAUAGCUGCAGCCCCUGAGAGACUGGGACCUCCUGAGGCGGGUCACCGGAUCAUCUUAGGGAGCCAGGCGCCCGGGCAGCACAUUCCUAACCCUCUGCCGCAGGCCGGCGUGAUCCCAGCAGGAUGGUCCCACCAGCGGGGCCAAAUCAGCCUUCACAUCAGGGCCCCAAACUUUAACGCUCCCGCUCCUCCAGCUCCCGCAGCUUUGGUUGUUGGGGGAAACGCUCUUCUCGUUCCGGUUCCAAUCCCAGAAAGAGUUAAUCCCGCUCUCGGAAUGGUUGCAGUGCCGCCCGCACCGGAGGACGUUCCCCAUAUAGAGGACGCCAGGCCCGGUCCCUCCGCACCAGGAGGGAGAGCGGAGCAGCUGCCCCAAGUUAGAGCCCUCAUCACCGGGGUGUUGGAUCUUUUCCCAGACGUCCAAGAAGCCUAUGUAGCAGAACUGAUCCAGAAGAAUAAUGUGAAAGACUUGAAUGUUAUCUGUAACCUGCUGUUGGAGAACCCAGAGUAUCCGAGGGGCGGGGCUGCAGCCAUCGUAGCCCCCACCAGCAUCCUGCUGGAGUCUGGAGACAAUGAGACAGAGGUGACAGAGGACCUGUUUGACUUUAGCAAACUGGCCACGGUGGGGCUGGAGGCUUCCAUGCAGGCUGCCGACCUGCUGAUGGCAGAUUUCAGGAUGCUCAGCUGCCAGGACAUCAAAUGGGCCCUCAACGCUCUGAAGGGACACUAUGCAAUCACACGCAAGGCCUUAUGUGAAGCGCUGAAGAAGUGGCAGGAGUCAGGUGACCCCUCAGGAAAGAGGCGACGGAGCAGAGCCGCCUCCUCCGAGCGCUACUACGUGGACUUUCAUUUUGAGCACGCAGGCUCUGUGAAGUUCGAGAAGAGGAUGUAUUUCCUGGAGAGUGACCGACGCUACUGCCGGACGUACAACAGUCUGGAAGCUUCCGUGCAGAAAGAGCUGUCCUUCUACCAGCAGAAGGCCAAGGAGUGGGCUGAGCAUGAGGACUUCCUACUGGCUCUGCAGGUCAACGAGGACGAGUACAAGAUGGACGGUCAGCUGAUCGAGUGCGGCUGCUGCUACGGGGAGUUUGCGUUUGAGAAGAUGACGCAAUGUUCAGACGGACAUCUGUUCUGCAAAGAGUGCCUCGUCAAAUACGCUCAGGAGGCCGUGUUCGGCUCCGGGAAGUCGGAGCUGAGCUGCAUGGAGAGCGGCUGCCCGUGCUCCUACCCGGUGUGUGAGCUGGAGAAAGUCCUCCCAGAGAACAUCCUGUGUAAAUACUACGAGAGGCAGGCGGAGGAGGCGGUCGCUGCCACCUGUGCUGAUGAACUUGUGCGGUGUCCGUUUUGCAAUUUCCCAGCAUUGUUGGACAAAAACAUGUCUCUGUUCAGCUGCCCCAACCCUCGCUGCCGCAAGGAGAGCUGCAGAAAGUGUCAUGUCCAGUGGAAGCAGCACAUGGGGAAGACGUGUGAGCAGGUCCUGGAGAGGGACGAGAUCCGCAUGAGGGUGCUCUUUGAGGAGCGUAUGACAGCAGCCCGGGUGAGGAAGUGCGUGAAGUGCACUACAGGCCUGGUGAAGUCGGAGGGCUGUAACCGGAUGUCGUGCCGCUGCGGCAGCUUCAUGUGUUACCUCUGCAGGGAGCCCAUCACCGGGUACAACCACUUCUGCCAACACGCCCGCUCGCCCGGCGCUCCCUGCAGACACUGCCGCAAGUGCUCGCUCUGGACCGACCCCACGCCGCGCUCAUUAACUCUCGCUGCACUUUGACCCGGACCAUCUGACUGUGCGGUCGCCAACAGUUACCUGGCUGCAGUUUCCCUGGCACCCAGAAGCCACAAUUAGUCCCGAGCUGUUAAUGAGCUGGAGCCGCUCCAGAAGCUCCAAAGAGGAGACGGAGCCAACAGCAAGUCUCCAAGUGCAAUGCCAAGAAGAAAUGGAUAAAAAAUGCAGACCACAGGGCCUUUAAAAAGGGGACGGCUGCCUUUGUUACAUUAUUAAAAAGGUCUUCAUGUCAAGAGUGAGAGUGUAGGAAGUUCUGACUCCUCUAACUAUCUUUAUGUUAGCAUUAAAGUGUAUUUCAUUAGGCUAAGUACAUUUUAGAGCUGUACUGAUUAGUUUAAAGCUUCAUUGCCUUUCAUUUUUAGAUCAACUUUGAAAUAUUUUAUAUAAAUCAUUAUUUUUGUCGAAUGAGAAACAGCGGUAGCUGCGUAAUAUCAUUAACCACUGAUGGGAUCCAAUCAUUUACAAUAACAAUUUAUUUUGCCGUUUAGCUAAAUGUGUCUGUGUGUGCUUUCACUGACGAAUGAUAACAUUCUGAAUAAUCACUUGUUCUUGUUGAGGAUCUUUAUUUUUUAGAUUGGUGACAUACUGUAUGACAACAGACAUCAAGCAAAUAGAAGACGAGCAAGUUAAAACAGUCAUUUGAUGAAGGUCUAGGGACUACAAAGGCAUACCGACUAACUACAGCACCUCCCGCAAGACGACGAGCGAAUCAUCCAGGAGAUCCAGAAGGAAGGAGAGGCCGAGCUGAAUAAGAAGAGCACCGAUAAUUCAGGGAAGAGAGUUGGCCCCCCUCCGGAGCCGAUCACCGAAGUCAAGCGGCCUCGGGUCGGACCGGCCCCCGAGGAACCUGCC